CACUUAAAGGGUUAAAUAUACAAUGGCCUCAUAUUUACUUUUGUUUAAACGGGUUUUCUCUGCUGGUAAUCUUCUUUCCUUGCUCUCUGACAAAACCUUGAUUCCCUUGUUAUAAUGUCCUGUGUUUUUAUCAUCGAAUAAAUUAAACUCUGUUGGUGUUUUGCUCGUAUUUUUCUUCAUAUUCACAAUAUUUGUCUCCGCCAUUGAAAUUGCUUGAUCGAGAAAGACAAGUGGUACAAUACUUUCCGAAUAUUUUGCUUCUAAACACUUAAAAUUUGGUGAAACUUGGCUUAAAUGAAUGUAAAUGUAAAAUGUUUACAUUUUCAUAUUGAUGGUGUAAUCCAGUGUAUGAUCCAGCAUCCG